AGAUGAAUUUCAAAAAAAAACAAUUGGAUCAGUAAAAUGUCGUAUUCUACCAGGGUAUGAAGCACAAAGGUUAUUAAAGCUGAAUGAUGUUAAUGUGGUUAUAACAAUGAAGAUUGAUAAAUCAGAUGAUGGUCCUGUUUACCGAAUUAUUGUUUCUGACUUAUUAAUUGAUUGCAAGUCAUUGCAUUCCUUUUCUGUUGUUAAAGAUGCUUUUAGCAAAUUAAACUGUAUUAGUUCUAAAAACUGGUCUGGUUUUCAGUUUUUUGGCUUGGAUAGAAGUAAAGUAAUCAAUAAAACAUCUUUUCCAAUUAUAAAAUUUGAUACACCAUCUUUUGAUAACAUUGAACAAAACAACAACAGUGUAAUAGUUGAUUUACUGAAUAUAAGAAAACGUGGUGCUGGAAAAACUAGUUCGCUUCUCAGUAAAAAAGCUAUAAAAUCUCGGAAUAAGACAAUUCAUUCAUUAGUAGAGUUAGCAAGCUAUGGUGAUAUAAAAAGUUUUGUGAGCUACAUAAUAAAUGAGUGCCCAGAAAUUGUUGUAGAAGUUAUAGAUGAAAAUACUGAUUUCUUAGUUCAUAUUGUUGAAAGACUUAGGUUUAUAAUAUCUGUUAAAAAUCUUGAUUGUCAACAAACUGCUACAAUAAUGAUAGAUAAAAUUGAAAUUUUACAGAGAUCUUAUAAAGUUUUAUAAGGUAUUCUCAAGAAAAAUAAUAUAAACAUUCCUACAUAUGACAACCUUAGAAAAUACUGUCUUAACACAGAUGUAGGUCUAAUUCAACAUGCUCAUAAUGAUGCUAGUGUCGACUGUAAGUGUUUUGGUUACUCUUGUAAUGUUGAAGAAACACUACGAAGAGUCCUAUCAACCCCUUCUCUUUAUGAAAAAUUUGGGUUUUUUUCCAUUGAAUAACAACAAGUGAUAAGAGAUUUCUUAAUUCAGAAGAAUAAUACUCUUUAUGAAAAGUUUGACAUAAAUAGUAAAACUUUAAUUCUGCGUGACACUGGAGAUAAUUUUCGUGCUGCUAGUCGUUAUCCAACUGAGCAAACUUCUUUUUCAAUAUUGAAUUUAACUCCUAUGAUUAACAGCCCAUAUGGACAAUUUAUCACAACUCUUUGGCGAGGUAAUGAAAGUCAUGAGAGUAUUAAGUUACAUGUGCAAAAAGUAUACACAGAUUUGACAAAUCUAGUUAAAAAUGGAUUAACAGUGUGUAUUAAUGGUAGUAAAAUUGAACACUUUAAUGUGAUUUUAUUUCUAGUUGCAGAUCUUAGUUUCACUAACGAAGUUAUUGGUAAAUGCUCCAGUAAUCAAACAUAUGGUUGCAAUCAUUGCAAGUUGCCAAUUUAUGACUGGGCCGUUGUAAAUAAAAAGAUUGGUACUAUUCAAUUGGUUGUUGAUACACAAGAACGUGGGGAACAUGCAAGGGUUGAGCUAGGCCCUAGACCAAACUAAGAUUCAGCACAAUAUAAGAAGUUUACUGCUGACAACUAUGGACAAUGGGGAACAGUGUUAAUUGAAGGAUUGAUAAUUGAUUUCAUGCCACCAUGUGGCUUGCAUUUAAUUUUGGCACAACAUAGAUAUCUUUGAAAAUUUUUAUUUGAUGAAGUAAAUAAGAGUUCACAAGAAAACCUUUUGUCUGAAGGAUUGAGAAGAUUGGGUGUUCGUAUUUAGCAUUUCAACUUGAUUGUUAUUUUAAAAGAUGUAAGGAAAUUACAAACGAAUAUCAAGUUGGUUAGAGCCUAAUGCUCGUGCAAUUAAAGCUGCUAUGGUAACCCUUUGAAUCUGAUAGUUAUUCACUCUGAGCAAUAUAGUAUAAUAUUUUAAAUCAAAUUAACUGUGGAAAAUGAAUUUCAAUAAACUGGUCACAUUGCUUAUAUUUCAUCAAACAACGUAAAUAUAUUAUCAAUUUGAAACCGGAAGGUUACUUUUUCAAAUAUCUUCACCAAGCAUCUGAUAUGCAUAAGGUGUUUAAAAAAAUGAAAUUAUAAAGUAAGUAAAAUAAAAUGUAUUUUAAAAUUUUCAUUUAUAGAAAGCAUAGAAAGUCUUCAACAAAAGCUCAAAUAAAUGAUCAUAUUGCAAAUAUUGAAAGGCCUCUUCAUUGGUAAAUAAAUGUCAAACAAUAUGUAUAGAGAAUGCAAGCAAUUGCUAAGCAGUUAUAUUUAUUAUUGUUUAGUUUCUUUUUGUAUAUUUAUAGUAUAUACUAUACCUGUAAUCUUCUUGUAUAUUCACAGUUUUUAGUAUUA